rnacentral:rRNA from 1 species
GACGAACGCUGGCGGCGUGCUUAACACAUGCAUGUCGAACGGAAAGGCCCUGCUUUUGUGGGGUGCUCGAGUGGCGAACGGGUGAGUAACACGUGAGUAACCUGCCCUUGACUUUGGGAUAACUUCAGGAAACUGGGGCUAAUACCGGAUAGGAGCUCCUGCUGCAUGGUGGGGGUUGGAAAGUUUCGGCGGUUAGGGAUGGACUCGCGGCUUAUCAGCUUGUUGGUGGGGUAGUGGCUUACCAAGGCUUUGACGGGUAGCCGGCCUGAGAGGGUGACCGGCCACAUUGGGACUGAGAUACGGCCCAGACUCCUACGGGAGGCAGCAGUGGGGAAUAUUGCACAAUGGGCGGAAGCCUGAUGCAGCAACGCCGCGUGCGGGAUGACGGCCUUCGGGUUGUAAACCGCUUUCGCCUGUGACGAAGCGUGAGUGACGGUAAUGGGUAAAGAAGCACCGGCUAACUACGUG